CACGUAGGGCGCAAGCGUUGUCCGGAAUUAUUGGGCGUAAAGAGCUCGUAGGCGGUCUGUUGCGUCCGCUGUGAAAACUCGGGGCUUAACCCCGAGCCUGCAGUGGAUACGGGCAGACUAGAGGUAGGUAGGGGAGAAUGGAAUUCCCGGUGUAGCGGUGAAAUGCGCAGAUAUCGGGAGGAACACCGGUGGCGAAGGCGGCUCACUGGACCGGAACUGACGCUGAGGCGCGAAAGCGUGGGGAGCAAACAGG
rnacentral:rRNA from 1 species